ACGGGAGGCAGCAGUGGGGGAUAUUGCACAAUGGGGGAAACCCUGAUGCAGCGACGCCGCGUGAGUGAUGAAGUAUUUCGGUAUGUAAAGCUCUAUCAGCAGGGAAGAAAAUGACGGUACCUGACUAAGAAGCUCCGGCUAAAUACGUGCCAGCAGCCGCGGUAAUACGUAUGGAGCAAGCGUUAUCCGGAUUUACUGGGUGUAAAGGGAGCGUAGACGGUUUGCCAAGUCUGAUGUGAAAGGUGGAGGCUCAACCCCCAAACUGCAUUGGAAACUGGUAGACUAGAGUGUCGGAGAGGUAAGUGGAAUUCCUAGUGUAGCGGUGAAAUGCGUAGAUAUUAGGAGGAACACCAGUGGCGAAGGCGGCUUACUGGACGAUAACUGACGUUGAGGCUCGAAAGCGUGGGGAGCAAACAGGAUUAGAUACCCUGGUA
rnacentral:rRNA from 1 species